rnacentral:rRNA from 1 species
UAGUAUCAGCGUGUCAGCAGCCGCGGUAAUACAGAGGGUGCGAGCGUUAAUCGGAAUUACUGGGCGUAAAGGGCGCGUAGGCGGUGUAUUAAGUUAGAUGUGAAAUCCCUGGGCUUAACCUAGGAACUGCAUCUGAUACUGGUACGCUAGAGUGCAGUAGAGGGUAGUGGAAUUUCCGGUGUAGCGGUGAAAUGCGUAGAUAUCGGAAGGAACACCAGUGGCGAAGGCGGCUACCUGGACUGACACUGACGCUGAGGCGCGAGAGCGUGGGGAGCAAACAGGAUUAGAUACCCUGGUAGUCCACGCUGUAAACGAUGAGAACUAGAUGUUGGUAGGCAUGACCUAUUAGUAUCGAAGCUAACGCGAUAAGUUCUCCGCCUGGGGAGUACGGCCG